rnacentral:ncRNA from 1 species
CAGCGGGGAAAGAAAACCCUGUUGAGCUUGACUCUAGUCUGAGAUUGUGAAACGACUUAUGAGGUGUAGCAUAAGUGGAAGCUCCGGCGCACGUGAAAUACCACUACUCAUAAUGUCAGUACGAGAGACCGCGAAUACUCGCGACUGUGCUACUAGCGCUUAUCAACGUUUUGGAGGUUGAAUCUCUCAUCGGAUCUCAGGAAUAUCUAGAGAGGCUUUCAUCUGGGCUUAUCAUUGGAGUUUCAUCCGUUUUACGCGACGUGGCGUAAAACUCCGUGACAAGCAGUAGUCGUGGAAUAUGUUUUUCACUAGUGUUUUGCAUAUCACUUGGGUGAAACUCCAUUGUUCAAGGUGAUUUCUCAGGCUUUGGACCGCAUUUUCCCCCACCUGUUUUAGUUUAGCUCUCAGUGCGUUAACCAUACGAGUUCCUUCUCGCGCCGCUUCUUCUAAAGCGUCGGCCUCCUGUGUGAAUAUGCGUGCCUCCGUUCGAUGCGACCAGGCUUCUUCCAGACACGUUAAUUCUUCACUGGACAGCUCUGAUGAAUCAACAAUUAGUUGACCUCAGACAGAUCGAUUACCUCGGAGGCUCUCGGGAGUAGGAAUUUCCAUCGUGUCUAGAUAGAAAACAAUUCACCGUGCUCGCUCAACAUUGAUCCAAUGCUCACUCAAGUGAUAAAAAAUCUCUGCUUACUACUGUACCACUGCGAGAGAAAAAUUAGAAAAAAUCCCAAAAAAUGUCUUGCGUUUCCUAAAUUUCGCUCCACAAGAGAGUACGAUAGGAGCUGAACUCUUUUGGGUAGCGUGGAAACUCUCUUGCGAAUUAUUCGUGAGCUUCACCUCUUUCAGUAUCGAGGUUGUUUUCUUGACUUUUGCUAAGGCGUACAGCUGGCGCCGCCUGAGAUACCAGAGCCUCUACAGUGGAGUUUCAC